AUUUAAGGGCUGGCACGAUGGCACACACACACACACACACACACACACACACACACACACACACACACACACACACACACACACACACACACACACACACACACACACACACACACACACACACACACACACACACACACACACACACACACACACAGUCUGGCUGUGAGGAUGUGGAAGGAAGGGUGUCUAUAUUGUAUUUGUGUGCAUUCAGUUACUUCACAUAGGAUGGAGGGUAAUUUGUUAGGGGAGCAGAGUCCUAAGACAUUUCUGGGUAGGGUUUACUUGGUUGGUACCAAAUACACACACAGUUAUUUCAAGGUUCAGUCAGCAAUCAACAGCAACCUCAAUGUAUAGAGUGUCAACUACACUUCAUGGAGAAAAUCUGUUAGCCUAGGUUUGUAAUGUCAUAUUCCUAAUAUUGUUAAGUCACAAAUACAAAUAAAAUCCUUAUUUUUUUUGGCCAUAGUCAUAUUUUAUGGAAAAAUUCAAUAAAAAGUAAAUACUUAGACAAAAUAAGUGUGUCUGAAUAUUUCCAAUUAGAAUAGCAGGCUGUAUGUUAAUGCCAGAAGGAGUUUUCCUGGAGCAUCACGAGUGUUUCAGGCCCCCCACCCGCCCCAGAGUCCUGGUGAGCGGGGGCCAGGCGUGGAGAGAGGUGGUGUCUCUGGGCUCGACGGUGGUUAUGGAAAUCCUCCACGCUGGGGGGCAUUUGCAUCCAUUUCCCUAGCCACAUGCGCUUCCCGUCACCGUUGCUUUGCCUGGCCCUCUCCGGGGAAAUCCGCAGCCUCGCAUGACGCCGUACUAAUAGAACACCUCAGUUAAGAAUACGGAAAGUUCCGGAGUUUAGGCCUAUAUCAUGAAUAACAUUCAAGAUAAUAAAGUCUAAAGGAAAGAGCACCACUGCAAGAUAUUCAAAUAAUCUUUUAUUUUUCACGGUAGAAGAUAUUGGAACUCGCAUCCAUGUCAAGUUGUAUUCCAUGGACUGCUUUGAUUUUCUAAGACGCGCCAACGCUCUGUUGCGUUAUCACAUCUAACCACACUAAGGUCUGCCCGGGCCCACUUAGCGACAGUCCUUAUCAAACCUAAUAGCACUCAGAGAUUAAGUGGCCAAACUCGUUAAUAAAAACAAUUAAACUCAAACCCAAAAUCAAUUAAUUUCACAAAAGGGCCCAUUAACAUAAUGUCGUACCAACCCACCGUAGUCUUCAGUGUUACGCACGAGGGCAGUUAAAACAUACUGAUCUUAACGCUCCUCAAAAUAAUAGAAAUAAACAUAAUAUGAAGAAAUUCAGUCGCUCCAAUCAGUCGCGUGACAGUGGAGACGUGCGCGACGGUUUGUAAAGUAAUUUCAGACGGGCUGGAGCUGACGGAGGCUGAACCGGCCCUCUGAACGGAAUCCACGACACGUGGAGUGGAGAGGGCAGAACCACAGGAGCCAUUAUCACACCAGAUUAUCUAGCGCUGCUCAUGUUCAGCCUCUCUGUCCUUAUUGGCUGUUAUCCACCCCCCCCUACCCAUAACAAUGCCUUUCCAUUCCUGAACAGCCGGCCUACAUCCUUUGUGCAGAAAUAGGCCAGGUAGAAAGCUGAGCCAAAUUGUUGGCUUUGAAAGUGUCUGGUUUGUAUUAUUUUUCUGACAAUCAUCCUCAGCUUCAAUACUCAAUUCAACGUCCUAAUCGGUCGCUUAAUACCGAGUCCAACUUGACGUGUUCUUUUGUUAACAUUUAAGCAAUGCAACUUCACAGAAUAGAUAUGGGGAACAAAAAGAACACGUCAAAGCGUUGCCUUAGGAACAAAGGAAACAUGGGCGGUACCAUGUACCAGAACCCCCCCCCGGGUCAGUCUCCCGCCCAGUACGGGGUCUCCCUCUCCCGCUCUCUGAAUGGUUUAGCCCACGAGGCCGUACCAACCCGGUACCAUCACUGCAAACGCCCUGCGCUGGGAAAUCUGGUGAACCGCAAAAUGACAAUCUGUGUCAUGUUUAAUCUCCCCACCCCUAUGAAAAAUAUAUCUGCAUGUCUAUACAUUAUUUCAUUUCUGUAAACAUUCUUUAAAAAUGUACGGAUCUCAAGUAGUCAAUAAAAAUGAAGUAGAUAUGGAUAGAUACGAGUAAAAUAAAUAGAGAUAAUUUAAACCCUAUGUACAGACUGGACUCGACGCGGUCCACAGAGACAAGGGAAGGAAACCUUUAAAAUAACGGCAAGAAGUCACACGCAGGACAGUGCAUCACACAGGGGGCUGGAGCCAGG
ensembl:lncRNA